GAGCUUUAUUGGAAGUAUAUAUUCAUAAUUUCUUUCAGCAAUAUAUAUUUAUAUAUAUGUAUAUAUACUUUCAUUUGCACCAUCCAUUUCUUUUUUCUUUUCUUUUUGCUAAAUAAAAUUAAAUUGAACCGAAAACAAGAUACAAAUCUAGGGGCAUUCCCUGCGGAAGAGACAAAAGCUAAACCUUACAAAGACAGGCUAAGACAAUUACAGACCAGAUAAAGCUGGUCUAACAAUUCUAAUCAAAAAGCCUAGAAAAUUCUUAGAAGAAAUUACAAAGUUUAAAGUCUUGCUUUUCUCAACAGCAGAUCUAAGGGAAAUAAGACACGCCUACAAAUGAGCUAUCACUGAACAUAAAGAUUAGUAGAUAAAGCUAUGAGGGGAUAAGUCCUGCUUUGCUCUUUUCUGGAAAAUAUUGCAUGUAAACAGUUUCCCCCUCACAGAUUUCUAAAUAAUGCGAAUUAGCCCAGUGGCAGGAGUAUUAUUCCCCGGAUCUUAAAUUUCUCUCAGCCCAAAUAUGGUAAAAGGCCGAACAGAUGCAGAGAAAGGCCACAUUGGUUCUUGUCUCGUCAACCUGAGCUAAUAAACAUCUCCCACUGCAUAGAUCAUCCCAAACAUUACUCACAGCAACAGGGCCCACCAUCCAUUUCAUUCACAAUAAUUUUAACCUUGAGCUCCUGUAAAUUUGAAAAAUAAAAAAGAAGUUCAUUCUUUGUUCUACUCUUUCUCUUCAGUCUUCACAGACCUCGUCAUAAAAACUUUAAACUAAUUCCGAUCUUUAAUAUUUAAUUUUUUUUUUUUUGACAAUGGGGAACCUUUAGAAGUAAACUCCGGGUGUAGACCACCCUACUAGACCGGAGAUCGAACCCCUAACCACAAAUUCUCCAACAAUCUCCAC
rnacentral:lncRNA from 1 species